GCGCCGGUGGUGUAAGGCGAACAUCGCUGCCCGGAAAGCAGAAGAUGCUGGUUCGAGUCCCGCCUGGCGGA
rnacentral:tRNA from 1 species